rnacentral:rRNA from 1 species
GUGGGGAAUUUUGCGCAAUGGGGGAAACCCUGACGCAGCGACGCCGCGUGAAGGAUGAAGGCCUUCGGGUUGUAAACUUCUUUUCUGGGGGAAGAUGAUGACGGUACCCCAGGAAUAAGCCACGGCUAACUCUGUGCCAGCAGCCGCGGUAAGACAGAGGUGGCAAGCGUUGUUCGGAAUUACUGGGCUUAAAGGGCGCGUAGGCGGCAGAGCAAGUCUGAGGUGGAAUCUCAGGGCUUAACCCUGAAAUUGCCUUGGAAACUGCCUUGCUUGAGUCAGUGAGGGGAGGGCGGAAUUCCUGGUGUAGCAGUGAUAUGCGUAGAUAUCAGGAGGAAGGCCUGUGGUGAAGACGGCCCUCUGGCGCUUGACUGACGCUGAGGCGCGAAAGCGUGGGGAGCAAACAGGAUUAGAUACCCCGGUAGUCC